rnacentral:rRNA from 1 species
UACGGAGGAUGCGAGCGUUAUCCGGAUUUAUUGGGUUUAAAGGGUGCGUAGGCGGACGCUUAAGUCAGCGGUAAAAUUGCGGGGCUCAACCUCGUCGAGCCGUUGAAACUGGGUGCCUUGAGUGGGCGAGAAGUACGCGGAAUGCGUGGUGUAGCGGUGAAAUGCAUAGGUAUCACGCAGAACUCCGAUUGCGAAGGCAGCGUACCGGCGCCCUACUGACGCUGAAGCACGAAGGCGUGGGUAUCGAACAGG